rnacentral:lncRNA from 1 species
GUCAUUUUCCUUUUCUCUUUGUAAUAUGAUCAAAAAUGCUGUACUUCUUCGUCUUGAUUAUAUUGAAUGAGAUAUUUUCCAUAAUGAAGUUAAAUGCUUUAAAAUUCAAAAAUUGCAAAUAAUACCCUAAGGGUUCCUUGAAAAUAAAACAAAGCAUAUGCACAAGCACUUCAUGCAUCAUUUUGCAUAAGCAGGUACCUUGUUUCUGGUCUUCUUGCCCUAACUCUGUGCUCUUCAUUUAUUUUGAAGACAAGCUGACUCACCGGUACUAUACUCGA